CAGUAGUAUAGGGAAUGAGGGUUCUAGACCACUUUUUCGGCCCGCGAUCUCACCCAACUUCCGGUCAGCGGUUUCCAUAUUUUCCCCUCAAAAACGCGGGCUCAUAUUUUUCUAGACCAUUUUUCUAUUAUUUUUGGUAUUAUUUUUUCUAUUAUUUUUGGCAUUAUUUUUUCUAUUAUUUUUGGCGUUAUUUUUUCUAUUAUUUUUGGCAUUAUUUUUUCUAUUAUUUUUCUAUUAUUUUUCAGCAUUAUUAUUUACAAGAAUUAUUAUCAUAUGCUAGGGCUCAUAUUUUUCUAGACCAUUUUUUAUCUAUUAUUUUUCAGAAUUAUUUUAAUCUUUAUUAUCAUAUUUAAUUAUACUCAAGGGGCCUAGGCUCUUAGGAUCAAACACAUUACUUGAAUCAUCUUUUUUAUCUUGUGUGCUCACUCCAAUGUUAAUAUUAUUUGAUACAGAGAAAUUUAUAUCACCAGCCUUCCCAGUUCUACUAGAACUCUUACGACAACCACAAAUCUUACCUAAGCAGGAGAAGCAUGACCUCCACCUUGACAUCUUAUCUUAUGAUAGACCACAUGUUAACUACCUGACCCCGAAUAUCGGAGUGACCAGCAAAAGGACAUAUCCAUACUCAUACCAAUGGGCAUUGAGUGUUCAGGUUUAACUAUAACACACCAAGCUAAAGUAUUAUCUACCAACGCAGCCUGGGCUCCUAAAUAGAACAUACUAUUACCCUUGAAAACAUAGCAAGCUGUACUUCCACCAGUAGUUGUGAAAGUUCCAUUGAACCAAGUGUAGGACAACCUUCUUAGGUCAAUUGUAGCAAAAACAAUUUCCUUCCUAACCUGGGUAAAUUUUCCAUUAGAUUGCUUUUCCCAAACGGUAGCCCACAGGAUGAGCCCUAUAGGUAUAUUCAGAACGGUUGAAAAAAUUGGGGAGUCUGUUUUAAUAGUUAUUGACUCAAGGUUGAGGUCUGUCAUAUUAUUAAUAGGAUCUGUUCUCCAUGAAGGUGGAAUCUGAUCUUGACAGUAAGCGUAGUACCUUGUUGCAGCAACUGCAACACCGCGAUAACCCCAAACCCAUUCUGCAUGUAUAUGUCGCCGUGUUCUUACAUAUCUUAAGUCAGCCGUUGCUUGAGUAAGACCAGUUGAAGGUUUUAGGAAAUUCUUUUCUACCCAUUGUUUGUUAACUGCAUCCUUGUCAUUUACAGGAUCCUUCAGAUCAAGAAUUCCACUUGAAUCUCCCAUGUCCAAAUCUCCCUUUAC